rnacentral:rRNA from 1 species
UACGUAGGGUGCAAGCGUUGUCCGGAAUUAUUGGGCGUAAAGAGCUCGUAGGCGGUCUGUCGCGUCUGCUGUGAAAACUCAGGGCUUAACCCUGAGCUUGCAGUGGGUACGGGCAGACUAGAGUGAUGUAGGGGAGACUGGAAUUCCUGGUGUAGCGGUGAAAUGCGCAGAUAUCAGGAGGAACACCGAUGGCGAAGGCAGGUCUCUGGGCAUUAACUGACGCUGAGGAGCGAAAGCAUGGGGAGCGAACAGG